CCUACGGGUGGCAGCAGUGGGGGAUAUUGCACAAUGGGGGGAACCCUGAUGCAGCGACGCCGCGUGGGUGAAGGAGCGUUUCGGCGCGUAAAGCCCUAUCGGCAGGGAAGAAGAUGACGGUACCUGACCAAGAAGCCGCGGCUAACUACGUGCCAGCAGCCGCGGUACUACGUGGGGGGCAAGCGUUAUCCGGAUUAACGGGGUGUAAAGGGGGCGCAGACGGCAAUGCAAGCCAGGAGUGAAAGCCCGGGGGCCAACCCCGGGAGUGCAUUUGAAACUGCCAGGCUGGAGUGCCGGAGAGGUAAGCGGAAUUCCUAGUGUAGCGGUGAAAUGCGUAGAUAUUAGGAGGAACACCAGUGGCGGAGGCGGCAUACUGGACGGUAACUGACGCUGAGGCUCGAAAGCGUGGGGAGCGAACAGGAUUAGAUACCCGGGUAGUC
rnacentral:rRNA from 1 species